GAUGAAGAACGUAGCAAAAUGCGAUAAGUAAUGUGAAUUGCAGAAUUCAGAGAAUCAUCGAAUCUUUGAACGCACAUUGCGCCCGCUGGUAUUCCGGCGGGCAUGCCUGUUCGAGCGUCAUUUCAACCCUCAAGCCCCCGGGUUUGGUGUUGGGGAUCGGCUCUGCCCUUCUGGGCGGUGCCGCCCCCGAAAUACAUUGGCGGUCUCGCUGCAGCCUCCAUUGCGUAGUAGCUAACACCUCGCAACUGGAACGCGGCGCGGCCAUGCCGUAAAACCCCAACUUCUGAAUGUUGACCUCGGAUCAGGUAGGAAUACCCGCUGAACUUAAGCAUAUCAAUAAGCGGAGGA
rnacentral:misc_RNA from 1 species